rnacentral:miRNA from 1 species
UUUCCUACCCUACCUGAAGACU